AAUCAUGGAUUGCAGCUAAAGGUAUAAUUCUCUGGAUGAUUUUUUUUUUGCUACUAAAAGCCUCCAGCAUAGAUGCAAUACGACCACCGCCUCUGCUGACGGUCUUUCUGACUAAGAAGGUCCUCCUGAACUUUGGAUCUACCCUGCUGCUCGCAGAACCAAAGCUCCACUUGGAGUAUGAGGGCCUAUAUCGAGCCCCUAUGCCCGUGCCUCCUCGUCAUCUAGAGCGGACGCCUUCUCCGACUUCCUGGAGUGAUAGGAAGGUAGCUCUACCACUUGGUGGUCCACCUCCGCCUUCUUCUUGGAAAUCUUCUCUUUUGCUGCUCUGAAAUCAGCAAAGUGCUUCUGUAUGCAUUUCCGACACAUAGAUACGUCGGAAUAAUCAUCAGCUAAGCGCUGCUUCAACCUGGUUACCUCUCCUCCUUUGAACUCUAUAUUGCACUAGUUGCACUUCCAAUGAUGUCAAUCUGAGAACAUUUGCUCAUGAUCCCAACCAAUGUCACGAUCUAGCUCUUUUUUUCUUAAUGGCUCCAUUCCUGCAGAUUUAUCAACUACGUCAGUUUAUCAAUUUUUUAAAAAUAGAAAAAUUUCGUUACG
rnacentral:lncRNA from 1 species